AUCACAACCACCCCCUGAUAGUAGAAGCAAAAGGCACCACCUUUCACCCCAAGCCCGGCAUCAGCCACCAGGCCUGGGUCAGCGUCCCACCGUAGGAAGCUUUAACACCUGCAUCCCCUGCCGGUCUCGGUGGACUGGGGCGAUACAGCCUAAUGGCUACCGAAGGCCACCGCCAAGCCCGCUUGAGCGCCGCCAAAUCUGAGGUUCUCGGUGCCGAUCGGACCGAUGAUAUAGCCAUGCCCAUAGAGCAAAACCUGGACCGACGCUACGAACAGGUAGCAGGCAAGAGGAUCGUAACGUGAAGGAUUGCGCCAACGCGGACCAAGUCAACCCCCAAUACCUGCACGCCAUGCACGGAGUCGCCUAAGACCAAAAAUAUAGUCGCCUAACCCAUCCUCACAAUCGACUAAUAGGGUUGAGCUAAUUAGCCUACGCCCAAUUGCAUGCAUGAAAUUGCUUACCCCCUCCCACCCACUAUAUAGUUGCCUCGCCCACGCACCUAAUCUACCAACCCAAAGCACAGCAAGUCACCCAUGCUAGUCCAAGCACGGAGUCACCUAAGCACCAAAACACAGUCGCCCGCCCAUCCUCACAAUCGACUAACAGGGUUAAGCUAAUUCACCUACGGCCAUUGCAUGCACGGAAUCGCCUACCCCUCCCCUCACUAUAUAGUUGCCUUUCCCACGCUCCCGAUAUACCAACCCAAAGCACAAUAAGUUGCCCUUGCUAAUCCACACACGGAGUCGCCUAAGCCCCAAAAUAUAGUCGUCCGCUCAUCCUCAGAACCAAUUAAUGGGGUUGAGCUAAUUCGCCUACACCCAUUGCAUGCAUGGAAUAGCCUACACCCCGCCCCCACCACACCACCAUCACUCUAUAGCCACCUCGCUCAUGCGAACUUUACUAGCCCAAUACACUAGGUCACCCACGGCCUAAUCCAUGUGAUGGAGUCAUGGAGCAGCCUACAACCCCAACAUAUAUUCGCCGCGCUCACACCCAACUCAACUAAUCCAAUACACUAAGUCACCACACUAAUCGCAACGGAAUCGCUUAAACCCCAAUGCACUGUUGCCCCGUGCCCGUGCUCACAGUCGACUAACCCAAUACACUAGGUCGCCCACAACCUAAUCCAUGCGCUGAGUAGCCUAGCACCCCAACAUGUACUCGUCACGCUCACGCCCAUUGAUCCAAUACACUAAGUCACCAUGCAAAUCAACGCAACGGAGUCGCCUAAACCCCAACAUUGUCGCCUCGUGCCAGCGCUCACAAAUUCACAAUCGGCUAACUGAGUCGCCUAAACCCCAAAACACUAGGUCGCCCACGGCCUAAUCCACACAUUGAAUUGUCUAAGCCCCAGUAUAUAGGCGCCCCAUCCAUACUCACAACUGACUAAUUGGGUUGAACUAAACUGUCCACACCCAUCAUAUGCAUGGAAUCGCCUACCGCCCCACCAUAUAGUCACCAACUCACUCCCUACUCAACUAAUCCAGUACACUAAGUCGCUGCCAACUCAAAGGAAUGGAGAGCAAGUCGUCAACCAAGUCUGGCGACUCGCCCGCGCCCUCAAUCAUCAUAGGCAAACCUACAGGAGGGGCUUGCGUGCAGUAGAGAGGGGCAUCAGCUCUUCAUCAUAGUCAUCAGGAAGAGUAUUCAGGUCAAUGGCAACCAUUUGUGAAGGAAACAUAAAAUGGGUAGAUCAACAAUAGGUGGGAUGAAGGCAACUUUUGAAUUUUUACAUUCUUAGUUUUACAAGUUUAUUUCUCCAAAAAUCAAUCAUAUUUUUAAACUCGGAUCACCUACAACCCUUCUCCUUUUUAGUAAAUCAAAUAGUCUUGAACAACCUCUAUUCAGUCCAGCAGAUUAAUGUGCACACUUUUGAAUCAACAUACUUUAUUCUAGAAGCAAAUCUUUUUGUUGUUGUUCAUCUUCGCGACAUUUCUUUGAACCAAGCAUCAACUCUUUUUAAUUUAGUAGCUAUUUAAGUACCUACACUUGGAACAAGCAAUAGGAACCUACACACUUUUUCGUGAGCAACUAUUUUUUUCAUUUCAUGUUGCAGGGGCCAGACACAAGGCAUUAAACAACACAAACACGAGGGAAAUCAUAAGAUUCAGCUAGCCAUCCAGUUCAUCGGGGAGGGGCAAAAACAUGAAAAUAUACAAGAUCCAAAAUGCAAGAACACCCCCGAAGAGUUUUGGUUUUUGUACCUUUCUGUUUUGUUGCCUGAUCUUUAAAACACAACACAGAGGAGGGGAAGUCCAGAGUUUUUGUGUGAACAGAGUUGCAAGAAUCGUUGAUUUGUAUUGCUUUUGUGUGGACAAAGAUCUAAGCUUCAAGGUUUCUGUAGCGUGCAACCAUGUGCCAAAGUUUUAGAGAAAACAAUUUUAUUAGCCGAGAAUAUUCUUUUGUUUUGCUUGUUCUUUGUGUAGCAGAAAGCUUUGUUGCCUGGGGCAGUUUUUUGUUUCUUGCGCUUCUGGGGCUAGGGAGGGAUGGGAGGGAGAAAAACGAGAUCGGUUCAUAUGUGUCCUUUUCUUGAGGAGAAGGAGGGGGGCGCAUUGGCCUGGCACAAGAGAGGGGUCACGGGAGCACACAGUCUUCAUCUUCAGAGGAAGCCCUCGUGCUUUAUUCCUUUUUUUAGAAUCGUGCUUGGGCACUGGCCUGGCACAAGAGAGGGGUCACGGGAGCACACAGUCUUCAUCUUCAGAGGAAGCCCUCGUGCUUUAUUCCUUUUUUUAGAAUCAUGCUUGGGCAUUGGCCUGACACAAGAGAGGGGUCACGGGAGCACACAGUCUUCAUCUUCAGAGGAAGCCUUCGUGCUUUAUUCUUUUUUUUUUGAAUCGUGCUUCAUUCCGUUAAAUGGGCCUUUUAUAUUUAAUUUAGGUUUAGUUAAUGCCCACAAAUUAUGAUGUUCCAUGUCGUAAUCUAAAAAAAGACCAUAAAAUAGCAAUAGGCACCGAAAAGGACUCCACAGAUUCUAGCUCCCUGCAAAGUGCAAAAUUGCCAUUAGUUGGACCAUGUCAAUGCAAAAUCUGUUGUUAGGUCGAAAUCCUAUCAUGCAAAAACUUGCCAGAUGAAAACUUUAAUUUUCAUGGGAAUUUUAAGAUCCCACAUCUUGGUGAGAACAGGGGUUUGGACUUCCUGAUAAAGUGAUAAGUUAGCCAUCUGUACAUGGAUUUGGUAGAGUAGAUCCUGUUGGCACAGAACUUCCUCCCAUUGUCUCAUGUCACUACCCCCAAAAGCACGAAGAGGAACUCAAUUUAGUCAUGGCUUGUACGUCUUCAUCCGUCAAUGCUUAUGCGGCGGCCAAUUCACCUUCCCUCCACAUGUCGAAAUAAAAAUGAGUGAUUGGUGCUCCAUUAUGUAUGAGCCAUUGCCCGUCAUUUGCACCAGCCGAAUCAAAGAAGGCACUCAUAUCGCCUUGACGUGCGUACCAACAAAAUACCGAUAAGCCUGAGUAGCAGAACACAAAAUUUGACUAAUAAGCCAUCAGAAACCGUGCAUUUAGUCUUUCCUGCAUUAGGUCUAUUUUUGCCAUAUCUCAUUCUGAAUCCAUGUUCCCACGAAUAUAGGUUGUAAAAAUCUUAAGCCUCUCCAGGUGAAUCGAACCCAAAGAAGCUCAACCACAUGUUCACCCAGCUUCUCUGCGUACACCCAUAUCGUCUUUUUAAGAGAAAAGUUCACAUUUCAACCCUAAACUAACCACUCGGUUUAAUUUACAACCCUCAACUUCAAAACCGCUCAAAAUACGAGGGAUUUGAUGUUUUGCCCCACUUUACGAGGGGUUUGAAGAUUUGCAUUGUCUCAAUGACAGUGGCCCCAGGCCCCACCCGGCAACCUCUCGGGGGGGGG
rnacentral:rRNA from 1 species